GAUGAACGCUGGCGGCGUGCCUAAUACAUGCAAGUCGAGCGAACGGACGAGAAGCUUGCUUCUCUGAUGUUAGCGGCGGACGGGUGAGUAACACGUGGAUAACCUACCUAUAAGACUGGGAUAACUUCGGGAAACCGGAGCUAAUACCGGAUAAUAUUUUGAACCGCAUGGUUCAAAAGUGAAAGACGGUCUUGCUGCCACUUAUAGAUGGAUCCGCGCUGCAUUAGCUAGUUGGUAGGGUAACGGCUUACCAAGGCAACGAUGCAUAGCCGACCUGAGAGGGUGAUCGGCCACACUGGAACUGAGACACGGUCCAGACUCCUACGGGAGGCAGCAGUAGGGAAUCUUCCGCAAUGGGCGAAAGCCUGACGGAGCAACGCCGCGUGAGUGAUGAAGGUCUUCGGAUCGUAAAACUCUGUCAUUAGGGAAGAACAUAUGUGUAAGUAACUGUGCACAUCUUGACGGUACCUAAUCAGAAAGCCACGGCUAACUACGUG
rnacentral:rRNA from 1 species